GAAGUUCCCAAGCCCCCAAGGGACUGUAGGGACUUCUGGGAAGAUGGUGAAGUGGUAUGCAGCAGAAAAAGAGCCUUUCCGAGAUUUGGUGUCCAGACACUUGAAUAUCGCAACUCCAAGAAGAGAAUCAGGGAAGUGGGUCCCCUGGACCAGGAAGGAUCUGGAGCAAGAGUUGAAGCCCACAAAGAGAGCAAAUAGAGAAACUUCCACAAAGAGAUUUUUUGACUCCUAAAUCCAUUUGUGCCGGCAACCUUGAUAACUAUUUUAAAGAAGGAAUCAAACUCAGGAUCACAUGCUU